rnacentral:lncRNA from 1 species
ACUUAUACUGCCAAUGUGAAUGCCAGAUUACAAAGUUGAGACAACUUGUAUCUCAAAACAGUGAAUCUAUCAAGGGAGUAGUAGGACAGCUUAACCAGUAGGAGACCUUUAAAUACUUAACCUCUUUGCCACAAACCAAAAAUCAUGGCGCGUGACAAACAAAACACUGUCAGAUUAUGAAAUUCACUAAAAAAGAAUUCAAAUGAUGUGAGGAUGCUCCAUCAUUCCCUGUGAUUAUUUUUGACACUCUGUCUGUCACACUGUGUCCUUGGAAUGUAGCAAAUAACAUUUUAAAUAUCAACAAAAUCUGGUUCCCUGUCUCUAAUAAACCUGAAAACAGUGUAAAUUCCUAGCAUGUAAAUCAUGCAAAUAUCCAUUAUUACUGUUAAUUCUCUAAAGUGACAUAUUGGACUCUCAAAAAAGUCAGUAACAC